rnacentral:rRNA from 1 species
UACGGAGAGGGCUAGCGUUAUUCGGAAUCAUUGGGCGUAAAGGGCGCGUAGGCGGGUUAGUAAGUUAAAAGUGAAAUCCCAAGGCUCAACCUUGGAACUGCUUUUAAAACUGCUAGUCUAGAGAUUGAAAGAGGAUAGAGGAAUUCCUAGUGUAGAGGUGAAAUUCGUAAAUAUUAGGAGGAACACCAGUGGCGAAGGCGUCUAUCUGGUUCAAAUCUGACGCUGAGGCGGCGAAAGGCGUGGGGAGCAAACAGGG